rnacentral:lncRNA from 1 species
AAAAGGAUGUGUCCGUGUUGAACCUGGAAUAUAUUCCAGUAUGAUCUGUAAUGCAAUUUUCGGACAGACAAUCCUACGUCCUCAAUUGAAAUGACAUUAGCACCUGACGGAAAUGUUUUUUCCUUGAAGUGCCUGGCUAAAAAGAAAGUAAAGCCGAGGCAGGGAACGGCUUCAGAGCUAAUUGCCCUAAUCCAAGCAACUGCAUGAGAAGCGCUGUGCCAAAGCCGAGCGCUUGCCGGGUGGCCUGCUUUGCCGCCGCAAGCUGCUGGCUGCGCGGGGGUGGCCAGCAGCUGGACUGCUCGCCRGGCUUCGCAGAAACGUGGUGCUCAUAGGCUUCCUCCGGCCACCCUGCGAGACUGCCCGUCCCCACAUAAGCAUUUCUCGGAAAGCUCUGGUGUCCAGGUCGCAGUCAGGCUGUUGCAGAGUGUCUGUUGGGAAGACCUGGAUAUGCAACUGGGCAGCCUGUUACAGACAAAGCUCUGACUGAAACAGGUCAGUAAUAUAUUUUAUACGUAUGUAGGUAAUAUAUCUAUUGCUCUAUAGUGCUUAGAGAGGUGCAUCUUUAUGUUAAAGUUUAACUUAAAAGCAGACAAAAAAAGACAA